UGGUUAAAUUGAAAAGUUUUCUACUUUAUUAGCAAGCUCCAAUGCUAUCCUCAUUUCUCUGUCUUCUUAAUACAACUUAGGCUUGAUGUACAAUACUUGCUCUUAUCAAAGUCUGGACCAAUUAGCAGUGGACCUUGCUAGUGAUGCUACAGUAUAGACUGCAUGGAAACCUGAAUGAGAGAUAAGCUACAGUUGGGAGGCACACAACCAGAAAAAGAUUCCUGGGUAUGUAUUCAGAUCCUCCAAGUUCACUGACCACUGGCUAACAGUGCCAAAGAAGCUUGAACAGCAGCCAAAGCAGUGUGGGGCCCUGUGUGGUUGCCUGGUUUGCCCUCCCUUAAGGCCACUACUGCACAGGAAGAAGGAGAAGAGUUGCUUCACAGUAAAAUGGGGAGUAUUGACACCACUUGUGUUUUUUCCUCUGUGUUGCCAAAUAACUAUUCUGAAGACUGCAAGGCAAAAACAGGUAAGAAAUUGCAGGCAAGGUAGUGUUUCAUUUGGUGUGAUCUUGGAAGUAUUUUGGUGGUUUUCUCUCAGCAUUGCUACAGGGAAUGGUUGGGACUCAUCGGUGUUCCCAUUACUACACAACAGCAGAGAGAAAGGUGGCCUCUUUAUGUGGUGCCAUAAAGGCAUUUAAAAUACAUUAAUCAUAGAAUCAUAGAAGUAGGGUCGGAAGGGACCUUGUAGAUCUUCAAGUCCGACCCCCCACCUGGGCAGGAGAAAAACUGGGCUCAAAUGAAUCAAUUAAUUAAAUCAUUGGAGUAAGAAAUAGGACAACACAGUAGACAGUUUUAAUACAAUUUAUUUGCUUUCUAUGCCACCCUGUCCUCAAAAGCACAUGGCAGCUUACAAUGACAGCCAUAAAAACAGGAAUACCCAAAGCUUAAGCCCACUUGCUAAAAGCCUGCCCAGAUUAAAAAAAAAAAGUCUCACAAGAGGAGUUUUAGCUAGGCAACAUAGAAAAAAAUGUUAUAGGAAACUGUAGCCAGAAGCAGCUGAAAACCAAGUUCUCUAACAUAAAGUUUUGGGGCCAUCCUAACAAAAGAGGUACUAAUAAAAAACAUAAAAGAGGUGCUCCA
rnacentral:lncRNA from 1 species